rnacentral:tRNA from 1 species
CAGUGCGUGGCCGAAUGGUUACGCUGUCCGCUUUGUAAGCGGAUGAUUCUGGGUUCGAUUCCCAUCAGCAUCGA